AUGGGGUACGACUGGAACGGUCGCUAAUACCCAAUAUGCCGAGAGGUGAAACUUAUAUGGCCAGAGGAUGAGCUCGCGUCUGAUUAGCUAGUUGGAGUGGUAAUGGCACACCAAGGCGACGAUCAGUAGCUGGUCUGAGAGGAUGAUCAGCCACACUGGGACUGAGACACGGCCCAGACUCCUACGGGAGGCAGCAGUGGGGAAUUUUCCGCAAUGGGCGAAAGCCUGACGGAGCAAGACCGCGUGAGGGAGGAAGGCCUACUGGUUGUAAACCUCUUUUGAUAGGGAAGAAGAAAGUGACGGUACCUAUCGAAUCAGCAUCGGCUAACUCCGUGCCAGCAGCCGCGGUAAUACGGAGGAUGCAAGCGUUAUCCGGAAUUAUUGGGCGUAAAGCGUCCGUAGGUGGUUAUUCAAGUCAGCUGUCAAAGGAUGGAGCUUAACUCCAUAAAGGCAGUUGAAACUGUGUAGCUAGAGUGCGAUAGGGGCAAGGGGAAUUCCCAGUGUAGCGGUGAAAUGCGUAGAUAUUGGGAAGAACAUCGGUGGCGAAAGCGCCUUGCUGGGUCUGCACUGACACUGAGGGACGAAAGCUAGGGGAGCGAAAGGGAUUAGAUACCCCCCUGUAGUCA
rnacentral:rRNA from 1 species